UAGGGAAUCUUCCACAAUGGACGCAAGUCUGAUGGAGCAACGCCGCGUGAGUGAAGAAGGUUUUCGGAUCGUAAAACUCUGUUGUUAGAGAAGAACGUGUGUGAGAGUAACUGUUCAUGCAGUGACGGUAUCUAACCAGAAAGCCACGGCUAACUACGUGCCAGCAGCCGCGGUAAUACGUAGGUGGCAAGCGUUGUCCGGAUUUACUGGGCGUAAAGGAUGUGUAGGCGGAUAUUUAAGUCAGAUGUGAAAACCCCGGGCUUAACUUGGGGACUGCAUUUGAAACUGGAUAUCUGGAGUGCAGGAGAGGAAAGCAGAAUUCCUAGUGUAGCGGUGAAAUGCGUAGAGAUUAGGAAGAAUACCAGUGGCGAAGGCGGCCUGCUGGGCUUUUACUGACGCUGAGGCACGAAAGCAUGGGUAGCAAACAGGAUUAGAUACCCUGGUAGUCCAUGCCGUAAACGAUGAUUGCUAGGUGUGGGGGGUCUGACCCCUUCCGUGCCGGAGUUAACACAAUAAGUAAUCCACCUGGGGAGUACGACCGCAAGGUUG
rnacentral:rRNA from 1 species